rnacentral:rRNA from 1 species
AAGCCUGAUGCAGCGACGCCGCGUGGGGGAUGACGGCCUUCGGGUUGUAAACCUCUUUCAGCAUCGACGAAGCGCAAGUGACGGUAGAUGCAGAAGAAGCACCGGCCAACUACGUGCCAGCAGCCGCGGUAAUACGUAGGGUGCGAGCGUUGUCCGGAAUUACUGGGCGUAAAGAGCUCGUAGGUGGUUUGUCGCGUUGUUCGUGAAAACUCACAGCUUAACUGUGGGCGUGCGGGCGAUACGGGCAGACUGGAGUACUGCAGGGGAGACUGGAAUUCCUGGUGUAGCGGUGGAAUGCGCAGAUAUCAGGAGGAACACCGGUGGCGAAGGCGGGUCUCUGGGCAGUAACUGACGCUGAGGAGCGAAAGCGUGGGGAGCGAACAGGAUUAGAUACCCUGGUAGUCCACGCCGUAAACGGUGGGUACUAGGUGUGGGUUUCCUUCCUUGGGAUCCGUGCCGUAGCUAACGCAUUAAGUACCCCGCCUGGG